CCUACGGGAGGCAGCAGUAGGGAAUAUUGCUCAAUGGGGGAAACCCUGAAGCAGCAACUACGCGUGGAGGAUGAAGGUUUUCGGAUUGUAAACUCCUUUGGUAAGAGAAGAUAAUGACGGUAUCUAACGAAUAAGCACCGGUUCACUCCGUGCCAGCAGCCGCGGUAAUACGGAGGGUGCAAGCGUUACGCGGAAUCACUGGGCGUAAAGAGCGCGUAGGAGGGAUAGCAAGUCAGAUGUGAAAUCCUAUGGCUUAACCAUAGAACUGAAUUUGAGACUGUUAUUCUAGAGUAGGGGAGAGGUAGGUGGAAUUCUAGUCGUAGCGGUAAAAUCCGUAGAGAUCAAGAGGAAUACUCAUUGCGAUGGCGACCAGCUAGAACAUAACUGACGC
rnacentral:rRNA from 1 species